CAACCAGGGGGCUUGCUCCCGAUAGCAGUGGGUCAGUCUCUCACUUCAAUUGACUGACACCCUGCAAUCGGGAGCAAGCCCCCUCCCAC
rnacentral:misc_RNA from 1 species